CCAAAGGCCCUUUUCAGGGCCCCCAAAGCCUCAAAAAGGAGCUGG
rfam:Neotoma lepida isolate 417 scaffold_1595, whole genome shotgun sequence.